CCUGGUUGUUCCUUCCAGUAGUCAUAUGUUUUUCUCAAAGAUGAAGCCGUGCAUGUGUAAGAAUGAACAAAUUCAGACUAUGAAACUGCGAAUGGCUCAUUAAAUAAGUUAUAGUAUGUUUGAUGGUAUCUACUACUCGGAUAACCAUAGUAAUACUAGAGCUAAUACAUACAACAAACCCCAACUUCUAGAAGGGAUGCAUUUAUUUAGUAAAAGGUCGAUACAGGCUCUUCCCAUUAAUGCGAUGAUUCAUGAUACCUCAACGGAUUGCACGACUAUCGUACCGGUAAUGCAUUAUUCAAAUUCAACCCUAUCAACUUUCAAUGGUAUGAUAGUGGCCUACCAUGGUGGUGACGGGUGAUGGAGAAUUAGGGUUUGAUUCUAGAGAGGGAGCUUGAUAAAUAGAUACCACAACCUAUGAAGGCAGCAAGUGCGCAAAUUGCCCAAUCUUGACACGGGGAGGUUGUCACAAUAAAUAACAAUAUCGGACUCAGUGAGUCUAGUAAUUGGAUCGAGUACAAACUAAAUUCCUUAACAAAGAUCCACUGGAGGGAAAGUAUAGUGCCAGCAGCCACACUAAUUCCAUCUCAAAUAAUGUAUAUUUAAGUUAUUGUAGUUAAAAAUCUUGUAGUUGGACUUUGAGAUGGGCUGACCGGUCCGCCUAUGAUGUGCACUGGUCAUCUUAUCACUUCUGGUGGCGAUGCACUCCUGGCCUUAACCUGCUGGGUGUGCCUCCGACGCAUUUACUAUGAUGAAAUUAAAGAGCUCAAAGCAAGCCUACGCUCUGUAUACAAUAAAAUGGGAUAACAUUAUAGGAUUUUGGUCCUAUUAUAUUAGCCUUCGGGAUCAUAGUAAUGAUUAACAGGGACAGUCGAGGGCAUUCGUAUUUCAUAGUCAUAGGUGAAAUUCUUGGAUUUAUGAAAGACGAACAACUACGAAAGCAUUUACCAAGGAUGUUUCAAUCAAUCAAGAAUGAAAAUUGGGGGCUCGAAGAUGAUCAGGUACCGUCCUAGUCUCAACCAUAAACGAUGCUGACCAAGGAUCAAUAGAUGUUGGUUUUAGGAGUCCACCGACACCUUAUGAGAAAUCAAAAUUUUUUGGUUUCAGCGGGAGUAUAGUCGCAUGGCUGAAACUUAAAGCAAUUGAUGGAAGGGAACCACCAGGAGUGGAGCAUGAGACUUUAUUUAUCUCAACACGUGGAAACUUACCAGGUCCAGACAUAGUAAGGGGUCGUUUGGUAGAGUGUGUUAACAAAAAUAAUGCAUGCACUAUUUUUGUUUAUUAUUAAUACAUGGAUUGGUACAAUUUUUAUCUAUGUAUAACUAAUGCCUUGUAUUAGUUAUACACUCUAGUUGGUAUUGGACUAUGUAUUACUAAUACCCCCUCUUUUAUAUCUAUUAGUAAUACAACAUAUUUCAAUACAUGCAUUACAUUAUUAAAUUAUAAAUUUACCCCUUAAAAUACCAACUUCCUUUUCACCAUUUCCCACAUCUUCUUCAUUCCUAGU
rnacentral:rRNA from 1 species